AAGUGCAUGUGGUGGAUGCCUUGGCGAUUACAGGCGAUGAAGGACGUGAUAGCCUGCGAUAAGCUUCGGGGAGCUGGCAAAUUAGCUUUGAUCCGGAGAUUUCCGAAUGGGGAAACCCACCCUUUGGGGUAUCGCAUGAUGAAUCCAUAGUCAUGCGAAGCAAACCGGGUGAACUGAAACAUCUCAGUAGCUCGAGGAAAAGACAUCAACCGAGAUUCCGAAAGUAGUGGCGAGCGAAAUCGGAACAGCCUUGUACGCUUUAGCGUUUUGCAUAUCAGAACGGAAUGGAAAGUCCGGCCAUAGCGGGUGAUAGCCCCGUAUGAGAAAUGUGAAAUGUGGAACUAGGCGUACGACGAGUAGGGCGGGACACGUGUAAUCCUGUCUGAAUAUGGGGGGACCAUCCUCCAAGGCUAAAUACUCGUAAUCGACCGAUAGUGAACUAGUACCGUGAGGGAAAGGCGAAAAGAACCCGGAGGGAGUGAAUAGAUCCUGAACCGCAUGCAUACAAACAGU
rnacentral:rRNA from 1 species